AACGAACGCUGGCGGCAGGCCUAACACAUGCAAGUCGAACGCUCCGCAAGGGGAGUGGCAGACGGGUGAGUAACGCGUGGGAAACUACCCCGUUGUACGGAAUAAGCUAGGGAAACCUGGACUAAUACCGUAUACGCCCGCAAGGGGAAAGAUUUAUCGCAAUUGGAGGUGCCCCCGUCGGAUUAGCUAGUUGGUGGGGUAAUGGCUGACCAAGGCAACGAGCCGUAGCUGGUCUAAGAGGAUGAUCAGCCACACGGGGACUGAGACACGGCCCAGACUCCUACGGGAGGCAGCAGUGGGGAAUAUUGGACAAUGGGCGAAAGCCUGAUCCAGCCAUGCCGCGUGAGUGAAGAAGGCCUUAGGGUUGUAAAACUCUUUCGCCGGGGACGAUAAUGACGGAACCCGGAGAAGAAGCUCCGGCUAACUUCGUGCCAGCCGCCGCAGUAA
rnacentral:rRNA from 1 species